rnacentral:rRNA from 1 species
GUGGGGAAUAUUGGACAAUGGGCGAAAGCCUGAUCCAGCCAUGCCGCGUGUGUGAAGAAGGUCUUCGGAUUGUAAAGCACUUUAAGUUGGGAGGAAGGGCAGUAAGUUAAUACCUUGCUGUUUUGACGUUACCGACAGAAUAAGCACCGGCUAACUUCGUGCCAGCAGCCGCGGUAAUACGAAAGGUGCAAGCGUUAAUCGGAAUUACUGGGCGUAAAUCGCGCGUAGGUGGUUUUGUAAGUUGGAGGUGAAAUCCCCGGGCUCAACCUGGGAACGGCCUCCAAAACUGCAUGACUAGAGUACGGUAGAGGGUAGUGGAAUUUCCUGUGUAGCGGUGAAAUGCGUAGAUAUAGGAAGGAACACCAGUGGCGAAGGCGACUACCUGGACUGAUACUGACACUGAGGUGCGAAAGCGUGGGGAGCAAACAGGAUUAGAUACCCUUGUAGUCC